rnacentral:rRNA from 1 species
UACGGGGGGAGCAAGCGUUGUUCGGAUUUACUGGCGUAAAGGGCGCGUAGGCGGCCACCGCAAGUCGGAUUGUGAAAUCUCCGGGCUUAACCCGGAAAGGUCAACCGAUACUGCGGGGCUAGAGUGCGGAAGGGGCAACUGGAAUUCUCGGUGUAGCGGUGAAAUGCGUAGAUAUCGAGAGGAACACCUGCGGCGAAGGCGGGUUGCUGGGCCGACACUGACGCUGAUGCGCGAAAGCCAGGGGAGCGAACGGG